rnacentral:tRNA from 1 species
GCCGUGGCUCAUUGGUAAAGCAUUUGCUUGGCAUGCUGAAAGUCUCAGGUUCAAUGCCUGGCACCUGCA